CCCCUCUCAGGAUGGCACCUGGAGAGUUUCCAGUACUCUACCAGUCUCGGCUAUGGGAGGGAGAGUCAAGCAGAGGUAUUCCAUUCCUUGCUUGGGCAGUGGCUAGCGAGUGGAAGGCAAUCUGCUACAAGU